rnacentral:tRNA from 1 species
AGUUUCAUAGUUUAAUUUAAAAUAUCAGGCUGCAAUUCUGGAGAUACAAUAAUGUUGAAGCUU